rnacentral:lncRNA from 1 species
CCCCUUAGCCCUUCAUUCUGAAAUGAGCACGAAUGAGCACGAAACGACCACUAGAUGAAGGGAUUCCCGGGAAUCGAAGGGAAGCUGGUUCCCAGAGUGAAAGCGGCCCAGAAGCCUCCCACUCUGUAACAUUACAUUACAUAUGUUAUACAAGAAGCUAGUGGCUGCAUCAGAUUCAACCAAGGUAAUCGGCGAUCGCCGGUUUUGCACCAAUUUACGGCUCGACGGAACAGCGGCGCUGCCGCCGCCGCUGCUCCUAGCCCACGCAUUCCGCCGCCGGUUGUUGUAAAGUCUCCGGAGGACCAGGCUUGGGAGGAGGUUCGUUCCGUGGCUUCGGAAGCUUCUGGAACGCCCCGCAUGUGGGUAAACUUUACGGCGCCGUUUGCGGAGUUGCCGCCGAUCAUGAUGCCGACAAGGCCGGAGCCGG